UGGUACUUCUGCAUUAGACACAGAAGGGUCGGAAAACCGCUGCAAUUUGGAUCCACAGAUUUUGUUCUCUUAAUUGCUAGAAACAUGGUGACGUUUAGGAGGGAGACAAAUCCACUAAAUAGUGGUAUUGGCGGUCGAUUUUAAAACUUACGACGGCCUUUCCAGGGGUGUUUCAGAUGUGAUUUAUGAAUUCUCUACUAGGGCAACACUUGACAGGCAUAUGGAUGUCGACAAGGUUUGAUACGGAGCAGUAUAUGGUGCAGAAGUAGGCAGGUUUGAUCCGGAGCAUCCUAGAUUUGAAAAAGGAAUGCGGCCACAAAAGCAAGUAACAAUUUGAUUCCAAUUUCAGCUCUGUAGCGUAUAACUGCAAUCUAUUGAUUUAACCUUGGUAAGAUUUUAUGAACACUCUUUUUUAUUUAUAAUUAUUGAUUGCUUUGCGGAUCAUGAGUAUUUUGUUCUUUUUCUAUUUUUAUGCUUAAUCGUAUUGUCGUUUUUCUGGCCUAUAAUUAUUCUCAAAUCAUCGGGCGCUUGGGUAUUUUAAAGUUCAAAACCGUUGAGUAAUUGAUUUGGUACUGCAGCUUUACAAACAAUUUUAAUCGAAUUAAAGUGGGAUAAAAUAAAUGUGAACAUCUAUGUUUCUAUCGGUAAUUAUUUGGGUGUGAUUGUUUGUUAUGAAAUUAAUGUGCAUUUUGGGGGUUCUACAUCAGAACCACCAAAAUGCAUUCAUACUUGGGGAUUUUAAUAAAGUGCCACACUUCCAAUUUGCAGUUUAAGAAAACGCCACCGUUUUUUUCAGAGUUUAUUUAAUGCCACACGUUUGACCUUUUCCAUCCAAAAAAAUUGUUGCCAUCAGCACAAUCAUCUCACAACACUACUAGGACCAUGCCUAUGAAUCACUACCUCAACUCAAAACCCCUCUUUAUCACAGACCCAUUCAUUCCAUGGCAGUGAGCUUAAUGUCCAUUCGAUCAGUCAACAACAACAGGAGCUUCAAAUUUGUCUUUCCUUCUGUUAAAUCUCAAUUCCACCAGUGCUUCCAUCUGCAUAGACAACACCAACAACAUACAUUCAAACCCU